rnacentral:rRNA from 1 species
GUCGAACGGCAGCGCGAGAGAGCUUGCUCUCUUGGCGGCGAGUGGCGGACGGGUGAGUAAUAUAUCGGAACGUGCCCAGUAGCGGGGGAUAACUACUCGAAAGAGUGGCUAAUACCGCAUACGCCCUACGGGGGAAAGGGGGGGAUCGCAAGACCUCUCACUAUUGGAGCGGCCGAUAUCGGAUUAGCUAGUUGGUGGGGUAAAGGCUCACCAAGGCAACGAUCCGUAGCUGGUUUGAGAGGACGACCAGCCACACUGGGACUGAGACACAGCCCAGACUCCUACGGGAGGCAGCAGUGGGGAAUUUUGGACAAUGGGGGAAACCCUGAUCCAGCCAUCCCGCGUGUAUGAUGAAGGCCUUCGGGUUGUAAAGUACUUUUGGCAGAGAAGAAAAGGUAUCCCCUAAUACGGGAUGCUGCUGACGGUAUCUGCAGAAUAAGCACCGGCUAACUACGUGCCAGCAGCCGCGGUAAUACGUAGGGUGCAAGCGUUAAUCGGAAUUACUGGGCGUAAAGCGUGUGUAGGCGGUUCGGAAAGAAAGAUGUGAAAUCCCAGGGCUCAACCUUGGAACUGCAUUUUUAACUGCCGAGCUAGAGUAUGUCAGAGGGGGGUAGAAUUCCACGUGUAGCAGUGAAAUGCGUAGAUAUGUGGAGGAAUACCGAUGGCGAAGGCAGCCCCCUGGGAUAAUACUGACGCUCAGACACGAAAGCGUGGGGAGCAAACAGGAUUAGAUACCCUGGUAGUCCACGCCCUA